GCACCCGUAGCUCAUCUGGAUAGAGUACUGCCCUCCGAAGGCAGGGGUAGUGGGUUCGAACCCCGCCGGGUGCGCCA
rnacentral:tRNA from 1 species